rnacentral:rRNA from 1 species
UACAGGGGGUGCAAACGUUGCUCGGAAUCAUUGGGCGUAAAGCGCACGUAGGCGGUUUGUUAUGUCGGAUGUGAAAGCCCUUGGCUCAACUGAGGAAGUGCAUCCGAAACUGGCAAGCUAGAGUACUAAAGAGGGUCGCGGAAUUCCCGGUGUAGAGGUGAAAUUCGUAGAUAUCGAGAGGAACACCGGUGGCGAAGGCGGCCUUCUGGACAGUGACUGACACUCAGGGACGAAAGCUAGGGGAGCGAAUGGG